GGUAAGUCGGGGCGAGCAGAGGGGGUAGUGCAGGGGGUGGAAUGGUGAAGUGGAUUUACUGGGAGGAAAGCGAACGGAGGGGUCGGGGUAAGGUGGAUGUGAAAUCCCCGGGCGUAACUUGGGAAUUGCAUUAAAGACUGCCUGGCGAGAGUGGGGAAGAGGGAAGCGGAAUUCCAGGGGUAGCGGUGAAAUGCGUAGAUAUCUGGAGGAACAUCAGUGGCGAAGGCGGCUUCCUGGUCCAACACUGACACUGAGGUGCGAAAGCGUGGGGAGCAAACAGGAUUAGAUACCCCUGUAGUC
rnacentral:rRNA from 1 species